rnacentral:rRNA from 1 species
AGUAGGGGAUCGCAAGACCUUGCACUUUUGGAGCGGCCGAUGUCUGAUUAGCUAGUUGGUGAGGUAAAGGCUUACCAAGGCUUCGAUCAGUAGCUGGUCUGAGAGGACGACCAGCCACACUGGGACUGAGACACGGCCCAGACUCCUACGGGAGGCAGCAGUGGGGAAUUUUGGACAAUGGGGGAAACCCUGAUCCAGCCAUGCCGCGUGAGUGAAGAAGGCCUUCGGGUUGUAAAGCUCUUUCAGCCGGAACGAAACGGUCACGGCUAAUACCUGUGAUCACUGACGGUACCGGAAGAAGAAGCACCGGCUAACUACGUGCCAGCAGCCGCGGUAAUACGUAGGGUGCAAGCGUUAAUCGGAAUUACUGGGCGUAAAGCGUGCGCAGGCGGUUUUGUAAGUCAGAUGUGGAAUCCCCGGGCUUAACCUGGGAACUGCGUUUGAAACUACAAAGCUAG